GACGAACGCUGGCGGCGUGCUUAACACAUGCGAGUCGAACGGAAAGGCCCCUUUGGGGGUACUCGAGUGGCGAACGGGUGCGUAACACGUGAGUAACCUGCCCUUGACUUCGGGAUAACUUCAGGAAACUGGGGCUAAUACCGCAUAGGAAUCCUUGCUGCAUGGUGGGGGUUGGAAAGCUCCGGCGGUUUUGGAUGGACUCGCGGCGUAUCAGCUUGUUGGUGGGGUAGUGGCUUACCAAGGCACUGACGGGUAGCCGGCCUGUGAGGCCGACCGGCCACAUUGACACUUAGAGACGGCCCAGGCGCCUACGGGAGGCAGCAGUGGGGAAGAUUGCACCAGGGGCGGCAGCCUGAUGCAGCAACGCCGCGGGCGGGAUGACGGCCUUCGGGUUGUAAACCGCUUUCAGCAGGGGCGAAGCUUGUGGUGACGGUACCUGCAGAAGAAGCACCGGCUAACUACGUG
rnacentral:rRNA from 1 species